UACGAUGGAGAGUUUGAUCCUGGCUCAGGAUGAACGCUAGCGGCAGGCUUAACACAUGCAAGUCGAGGGGUAACAGGGAAUAGUUUACUAUUUUGCUGACGACCGGCGCACGGGUGAGUAACGCGUAUACAAUUUACCUUAUACAGGGGAAUAGCCUUUAGAAAUGAAGAUUAAUGCCCCAUGGUAUCAUUGAUUGGCAUCAGUUGAUGAUUAAAGAUUUAUCGGUAUAAGAUGAGUAUGCGUCCUAUUAGUUAGUUGGUGAGGUAACGGCUCACCAAGACAGCGAUAGGUAGGGGUCCUGAGAGGGAGAUCCCCCACACUGGUACUGAGACACGGACCAGACUCCUACGGGAGGCAGCAGUGAGGAAUAUUGGGCAAUGGAGGCAACUCUGACCCAGCCAUGCCGCGUGCAGGAAGAC
rnacentral:rRNA from 1 species